UGGGGAAUAUUGCACAAUGGAGGGAACUCUGAUGCAGCGACGCCGCGUGAACGAAGAAGGCUUUCGAGUCGUAAAGUUCUUUUAUAUGGGAAGAUAAUGACGGUACCAUAAGAAAAAGCCCCGGCUAACUACGUGCCAGCAGCCGCGGUAAUACGUAGGGGGCUAGCGUUGUCCGGAAUCACUGGGCGUAAAGGGUUCGCAGGCGGAAAUGCAAGUCAGGUGUAAAAGGCAGUAGCUUAACUACUGUAAGCAUUUGAAACUGCAUAUCUUGAGAAGAGUAGAGGUAAGUGGAAUUUGUAGUGUAGCGGUGAAAUGCGUAGAUAUUAAAAAGAAUACCGGUGGCGAAGGCGACUUACUGGGCUCAUUCUGACGCUGAGGAACGAAAGCGUGGGUAGAAAACAGG
rnacentral:rRNA from 1 species